GUGCUAAUACAUAUUAGUGUAGCACAUACACUAAAAUUGAAAUGACACAGAUUAACAUGGCUCCUUUGCCAGGAUGACACACAAAUUUGUAAUCUGUUCUAUGAAGAG
rnacentral:snRNA from 1 species